AAUCUUUUGAUAAUAUUGCCCAAUGCAACAAAUGGAAAAAGCAUGCUUUAUGACAACCUCAGCAGCAGAACCCAUGACUUUCUCCUGGGUAGACGAGACAAAAAAGUUUGGUAUCAACACCCAUCUAACAAUUAAGAAAGUUAUCUGCAGCCACACAUCCACUGUAUACCAAGUUAUGAUGAACAAUUAUGAAAAUGCAAAAGGAUUGAUAGAUCAGUAAACAAGCAACAAAAAGAUGGGUGCUCAUGGUGGCCUCCAAAUAAAUACAUGGACAGGCUGCUAAAGAGGGUCAGGAUGAUGGAGAUGCAAGAGCCAAAGACAGCACAGAUCA